GACGAACGCUGGCGGCGUGCUUAACACAUGCCAGUCGAGCGGAAAGGCCCUUCGUGGUACUCGAGCUGCGAACGGGUGAGUAACACGUGAGUAACCUGCCCCAGACUUUGGGAUAAGCCUCAGUAACGGGGACUAGUACCGAAAACGACACAGCUUCGCAGCUGGACGGUGUGGGAAGUUGUGCGGUUUGGGAUGGGCUCGCGGCCUAUCAGCUUGUUGGUGGGGUGAUGGCCUACCAAGGCGACGACGGGUAGCCGGCCUGAGAGGGCGACCGGCCACACUGGGACUGAGACACGGCCCAGACUCCUACGGGAGGCAGCAGUGGGGAAUAUUGCACAAUGGGCGGAAGCCUGAUGCAGCGACGCCGCGUGAGGGAUGACGGCCUUCGGGUUGUAAACCUCUUUCAGCAGGGACGAAGCGUAAGUGACGGUAAUUGGAGAAGAAGCGCCGGCUAACUACGUG
rnacentral:rRNA from 1 species